rnacentral:rRNA from 1 species
UCUACGGGAGGCAGCAGUGGGGAAUAUUGGGCAAUGGAGGCAACUCUUCCCAGCAAUGCCGCGUGACUGAAGAAGGUCUUCGUAUUGUAAAGUUCUUUAAUUGGGGACGAAAAAACUGACUGUACCCAAGGAAUAAGCCCCGGCUAACUACGUGCCAGCAGCCGCGGUCAUACGUAGGGGGCCAGCGGUGUUCGGAAUGCAUGGGCGUCAAGGGUGUGUUGGGGGUGUAGAAAGUUAGAAGUGAAAUACCUAGGGCUUAACUCAGGUGCUGGUUCUAAAACUGCUAUACUUGAGAGCAGUAGAGGAAGGUGGAAUGCCUAGUGUAGCGGUGGAAUGCGUAGAGAUUAGGCAGAACAUCAGUGGCGAAGGCGACUUUCUGGACUGUAACUGACGCUGAGGCACGAAAGUGUGGGGAGCAAACAGGAUUAGAUACCCUAGUAGUC